CCUACGGGCGUCAGCAGUGAGGAAUAUUGGUCAAUGGACGAGAGUCUGAACCAGCCAAGUAGCGUGAAGGAUGACUGCCCUAUGGGUUGUAAACUUCUUUUAUAUGGGAAUAAAAUGUUCCACGUGUGGGAUUUUGUAUGUACCAUAUGAAUAAGGAUCGGCUAACUCCGUGCCAGCAGCCGCGGUAAUACGGAGGAUCCGAGCGUUAUCCGGAUUUAUUGGGUUUAAAGGGAGCGUAGGUGGAUUGUUAAGUCAGUUGUGAAAGUUUGCGGCUCAACCGUAAAAUUGCAGUUGAAACUGGCAGUCUUGAGUACAGUAGAGGUGGGCGGAAUUCGUGGUGUAGCGGUGAAAUGCUUAGAUAUCACGAAGAACUCCGAUUGCGAAGGCAGUUCACUGGACUGCAACUGACACUGAGGCUCGAAAGUGUGGGUAUCAAACAGGAUUAGAUACCCUUGUAGUC
rnacentral:rRNA from 1 species